rnacentral:lncRNA from 1 species
AAAUUUUGACGCUCGUGAUGAUAAUAUAUACCAUUUAUUGAGGGCUUUCCAUGGCUGGGCUGGGCUUUUACCUCUAUUAUCAGUUCUCCAGUCACUAACUUGUCCAGCAAGGUGAAAUUAUUCACCUAAAGAGGAGAAAGUUGAGAGGCUAGGAGUUGUAGGAGUUGGCAAGAGUCUGGAGUUGAAUGUUCUCUGUCUUACUUCAAAACUUAUGGAGCAAUCUGUGCUCUUUUGUAUUUAUUACAUUAGAGGCAACAGGAAGAUGUUUUCAGUAGUAGUGGGGAUGUGUAGCAGAGAGGGGAACAUUUGGAGUCUGCACAUGUGGAGUACCAUUUGUUUAAAACUUCCAAGAUUAAAAGUUUAAGGCCUACGUGAGUUCAGAAUUUAUCUGCUAGGUAUAGCAAAAUUGUUGAUCUGGUGUGUGGAGAACUUCUAGAGUUUACUUUAAGCUCUUGGAACUCCGGUGGAAACCAGUUGUCUUGAUAAGAAAUGAAUGCUUUAAAUAUCUAAGCAGGGAUUAAUGUGGACAGGCUGCCUCAGGCAGUAUUAUGUAGACUAAUUUGGGGGGGUCUGCACAUGUGUAGGUCUAUCACAGAUUCUCCCUAGGGGUGGAGGUUUGCCAGUCCUCUUGACCUGUGUUGGAACUGGUUUAAAGUGGCCUGAAUAUUUUUCAGUGUAGUUGAUAAAUUACUUUUGCAUUCUGUUCCUAGAUGUUACUUCCCUAGCUAAUCUGGUUCCCCUCAACUAAUUUUUCUGAGGCUUAUGUGUAAGCCACUAACAUCAUGAGUCAGUUGCCGUAAAUGCCUUAAGUUGAUUUAUUCUUUAAGUGAGGCAGUAAGUGAAAGUUCGCUGUAACCCAAACCAAAUGAAACAGCAGCAAAAUUGGUGUACUUACUCAUAUUGUCCCUGACAUUGAAUCUGGUAAUUAGUGGGACAAUCAUUACCCAACAGGAUGAUACAGAAUCCUCUUGUAGUCUGACCAAAGUAAGUAUUUGUUAGUGUUAACAUUUCAUUCAGACUUGUAUUGAGUAAAUAUUAAUUAUUGGUUCAUUCUGACUAAAGUGGUCUCUGGAAUUCCCAUUGUGGUUUAGUGGCUAACAAACCCAGCUAGUAUCCAUGAGGACAUGGGUUCGAUCCCUGGCCUCCUUCAGUGGGUUAAGGAUACAGUGUUGCCGUCAGCUGUGGUGUAGGUCGAAGAACCGGCUCAGAUCUGGUGUUGCUGUGGCUCUGGCGUAGGCUGGCAUCUACAGCUCUGAUUAGACCCCUAGCCUGGGAACCUCCAGGUGCGCGGGUGCCGCCCUAAAAAGACAAAAAGACAAAAUAAAUAAAUAAAUAAAGUUAACUACAUAAAAUACUCUUCACCUUCUUUUAAAGAUAAACUUUGGAGUUCCCGCCAUGGUUCAGCGGAAACGAAUCUGGCUAGUAUCCAUGAGGACACAGGUUCAAUCCCUGGCCUCAUUCAGAGGGUUAAGGAUCCAUCGUUGCCAGGAGCUGUGGUUGUAGGUCGCAGAAUCAGCUCAAGUCUGGCGUGGCUGUGGCUGUGGCGUAGGCUAGCAGCUGCAGCUCUAAUUUCCACCCCUAGCCUGGGAACCUCCAUGAGCUGCGUGUGUGGCCCUAAAAAAAAAAAUUUUUUUUUUUUUUGGGAGUUCCUGUUAUGGGUCAGCUGGUUAAGAAUCCAAGUAGAAUCCACGAGGAUGUGGAUCCAACCCUGUCCUUGCUCAGUGGGUUGAAGAUUUGGCAUUGCUCUGCCGGCCUACACCACAGCUCACGGCAAUGCUGGAUCCUUAACCCACUGAGGGGGGCCAUGGAUCGAACUGGCAACCUCAUGAUUCCUAGUCUGAUUCAUUUCCACUGUGCCACGAAGGGAACUCCAAGUUUUUCAAUUUUAAACUGUUUAAUUCCCUUUUCUGCUCUCCUUUCCUUACCUCAGGUGAGAAAAAAAAACUUUGGUCUCUAGUCUAAUCCAUGCAUGUCGCAAAUGGUCAUUUGCUUCCAGUUACAUGGUUAACAUACUUGAGUCUUUGUUCCUGUGGCUGGCUUAAGUUUGCCCUUGAUGCACACAGGAAAUAAGUAAAUUUGGCAACUGGGAUUUACUUGAUCUUUCCGGCCAGAUUGGCAUACCACAGUUUCUUUGCUUUGGCUAAUUGCUUCAAACAUUCACAUGAUAGACCUUUUCUUGGAUAUAUUCCUACAGCUUUGUUCCAGUAGGCUAAAAUGCAGUUCUAAGAACUUUUAAUAGUGAAUAUCCCAGGAAUGUAACCCUAAGGAGACGGGUGGGUAGGAGUUUGGGGAAAGUUGUUUAGAAAGCAGAGAAAGUAAAAAGAGGUGAGAGGUCAGGCAGUUUAUGGGCAAACAAUGGACCCUGGCCCAGAACCAGACUCUUGCCCCAUCCUUCUGGGCAGGGGGGUGGGAUGGUACUGCCACGGAGGUUAAAGGAAGGUCAGGUAUUAUGAAGCAGUUAUUUUGAGAUUGGUGGUAUGAAGCACUGUUCUGACAUUGUUCCUCUUAUUCCGGUACCAGAAGCCAGGUUACUAGUGGUAAUCUGUCUUGAAGAAAGCCUCUGAGCUGUAAAUGGCCCUGGAGGUUUUGAUAGCUUUGAAAAUUGAGGUGUCUUGAAGCCUUCAAUAAAAUAAUUUAGGGAAGGAGUUCCUAUCGAGGCAAAGCGGAAACUAAUCUGACUAGGAACCAUGAGGUUUCGGGUUCGAUCCCUGGCUUUGCUUAGUGGGUUGUUAAGGAUCCGGUGUUGCCGUGAGCUGUGGUAUAGGUCACAGACACAGCUCAGAUCUGAUGUGGCUAUCAUGUAGGCUGGCAGCUGUAGUAGCUCCACUUCAACCCCUAGCCUGGGAAACUCCAUAUGCUACAGGUGCUGCCCUAAAAAAAAAAAAAAAAA